rnacentral:rRNA from 1 species
UGACAGUACUCUACGGGAGGCAGCAGUGGGGAAUAUUGCACAAUGGGGAAACCCUGAUGCAGCCAUGCCGCGUGUGUGAAGAAGGCCUUCGGGUUGUAAAGCACUUUCAGUAGGGAGGAAGGUAGUCGUAGUUAACACCUGCAUUAUUUGACGUUACCUACAGAAGAAGCACCGGCUAACUCCGUGCCAGCAGCCGCGGUAAUACGGAGGGUGCGAGCGUUAAUCGGAAUUACUGGGCGUAAAGCGCAUGCAGGCGGCCUGUUAAGUCAGAUGUGAAAGCCCGGGGCUUAACCUCGGAAUUGCAUUUGAAACUGGCAGGCUAGAGUCUUGUAGAGGGGGGUAGGAAUUUCAGGUGUAGCGGUGAAAUAGCGUAGAGAUCUGAAGGAAUACCAGUGGCGAAGGCGGCCCCCUGGACAAAGACUGACGCUCAGAUGCGAAAGCGUGGGGAGCAAACAGGAUUAGAUACCCUGGUAG